rnacentral:misc_RNA from 1 species
GUUCGAGCGUCAUUUCACCACUCAAGCCUGGCUUGGUGUUGGGCGACCGUCCCCUUUGGGACGCGCCUCGAACGCUCGGCAGCGUGGCACCGGCUUUAAGCGUAGCAGAAUCUUUCGCUUCAAAAGUCGGGGCCCCGUCUGCCGGAAGACCUACUCGCAAGGUUGACCUCGGAUCAGGCAGGGAUACCCGCUGAACUUAA